rnacentral:rRNA from 1 species
CGCUCUUUGAAAUUAUUAACCAUAACUAUAUAUAAAGAGUCGGACCUGCCCAGUGACAUUUAUGUUAAACGGCCGCGGUACUCUGACCGUGCAAAGGUAGCAUAAUCAUUUGCCUUUUAAUUGGAGGCUUGUAUGAAUGGUUUGACGAGAACUAAGCUGUCUCUUCUUAAAUAUAUAAAAAUUAAUUUUUAGGUGAAGAAGCCUGUAUUUAAUUGAGGGACAAGAAGACCCCGUUGAGCUUUAGUGAUUUAAUAAAAAUCUAUAUUAAGCUAAGGUUUAAAGUUUCAUUUAUCUGAAAAUAUUUUUUAUUAAAAAUCUUUAGUUGGGGCGACUGAGGAAUACCAAUAGCUUCCUUUAAAAAUAGAAAUUUAAAGACAUCGAUCUAUUAUUUAAGAUCCAGUAUUUACUGAUCAAAGGAAAAAGUUACCACGGGGAUAACAGCGUAAUUUUUCUAAAGAGUUCUUAUCGAAGGAAAAGUUUGCGACCUCGAUGUUGGAUUAAGAUAUCCUGGAGAUGCAGAAGUUUCCAAUGGUUAGUCUGUUCGACUAUUAAAAUCUU